GUGGGGAAUAUUGGACAAUGGGCGGAAGCCUGAUCCAGCCAUGCCGCGUGUGUGAAGAAGGCCUUUUGGUUGUAAAGCACUUUAAGCGAGGAGGAGGCUCCUUUAGUUAAUACCUAAAGUGAGUGGACGUUACUCGCAGAAUAAGCACCGGCUAACUCUGUGCCAGCAGCCGCGGUAAUACAGAGGGUGCGAGCGUUAAUCGGAUUUACUGGGCGUAAAGCGUGCGUAGGCGGCUUUUUAAGUCGGAUGUGAAAUCCCUGAGCUUAACUUAGGAAUUGCAUUCGAUACUGGAAAGCUAGAGUAUGGGAGAGGAUGGUAGAAUUCCAGGUGUAGCGGUGAAAUGCGUAGAGAUCUGGAGGAAUACCGAUGGCGAAGGCAGCCAUCUGGCCUAAUACUGACGCUGAGGUACGAAAGCAUGGGGAGCAAACAGGAUUAGAAACCCCGGUAGUCC
rnacentral:rRNA from 1 species